AUCUAUUUAAUAUAAACAUCUAGUAUAUUAAGCUUCCAACUUAAAAGUCUAAUUUAAUAGAAUAGAUA
rnacentral:tRNA from 1 species